rnacentral:rRNA from 1 species
GUAGAACGCUGAAGAGAGGAGCUUGCUCUUCUUGGAUGAGUUGCGAACGGGUGAGUAACGCGUAGGUAACCUGCCUUGUAGCGGGGGAUAACUAUUGGAAACGAUAGCUAAUACCGCAUAACAAUGGAUGACACAUGUCAUUUAUUUGAAAGGGGCAAUUGCUCCACUACAAGAUGGACCUGCGUUGUAUUAGCUAGUAGGUGAGGUAACGGCUCACCUAGGCGACGAUACAUAGCCGACCUGAGAGGGUGAUCGGCCACACUGGGACUGAGACACGGCCCAGACUCCUACGGGAGGCAGCAGUAGGGAAUCUUCGGCAAUGGGGGCAACCCUGACCGAGCAACGCCGCGUGAGUGAAGAAGGUUUUCGGAUCGUAAAGCUCUGUUGUAAGUCAAGAACGAGUGUGAGAGUGGAAAGUUCACACUGUGACGGUAGCUUACCAGAAAGGGACGGCUAACUACGUGCCAGCAGCCGCGGUAAUACGUAGGUCCCGAGCGUUGUCCGGAUUUAUUGGGCGUAAAGCGAGCGCAGGCGGUUUGAUAAGUCUGAAGUUAAAGGCUGUGGCUCAACCAUAGUUCGCUUUGGAAACUGUCAAACUUGAGUGCAGAAGGGGAGAGUGGAAUUCCAUGUGUAGCGGUGAAAUGCGUAGAUAUAUGGAGGAACACCGGUGGCGAAAGCGGCUCUCUGGUCUGUAACUGACGCUGAGGCUCGAAAGCGUGGGGAGCGAACAGGAUUAGAUACCCUGGUAGUCCACGCCGUAAACGAUGAGUGCUAGGUGUUGGAUCCUUUCCGGGAUUCAGUGCCGCAGCUAACGCAUUAAGCACUCCGCCUGGGGAGUACGACCGCAAGGUUGAAACUCAAAGGAAUUGACGGGGGCCCGCACAAGCGGUGGAGCAUGUGGUUUAAUUCGAAGCAACGCGAAGAACCUUACCAGGUCUUGACAUCCCGAUGCUAUUUCUAGAGAUAGAAAGUUACUUCGGUACAUCGGUGACAGGUGGUGCAUGGUUGUCGUCAGCUCGUGUCGUGAGAUGUUGGGUUAAGUCCCGCAACGAGCGCAACCCCUAUUGUUAGUUGCCAUCAUUCAGUUGGGCACUCUAGCGAGACUGCCGGUAAUAAACCGGAGGAAGGUGGGGAUGACGUCAAAUCAUCAUGCCCCUUAUGACCUGGGCUACACACGUGCUACAAUGGUUGGUACAACGAGUUGCGAGUCGGUGACGGCAAGCUAAUCUCUUAAAGCCAAUCUCAGUUCGGAUUGUAGGCUGCAACUCGCCUACAUGAAGUCGGAAUCGCUAGUAAUCGCGGAUCAGCACGCCGCGGUGAAUACGUUCCCGGGCCUUGUACACACCGCCCGUCACACCACGAGAGUUUGUAACACCCGAAGUCGGUGAGGUAACCUUUUGGAGCCA